UGCUAGUUGUUCAUGGGAGAUCUGGCAGC
rnacentral:piRNA from 1 species